rnacentral:sRNA from 1 species
AUAUUAAUUAUUCUAUAGAUACAUGGCAAAUGCUAAAGUGAUGAUGUGUCAAUCAUAUGAAGAGAGUUGGCCAACUUUCAUAUAUAUGAUUUAAAAAUCUGUCAAAUAUGAGAGAAUUAACUUAUGACGCAUUUAGUUAAACU